rnacentral:rRNA from 1 species
CACGUAGGGUGCGAGCGUUGUCCGGAAUUAUUGGGCGUAAAGAGCUCGUAGGCGGUGUGUCGCGUCGGCCUGAAAAACCUGCAGCUUAACUGUGGGCGUGCGGUCGAUACGGGCAUCACUGGAGUUUCGGCAGGGGGAGACUGGAAUUCCUGGUGUAGCGGUGAAAAUGCGCAGAUAUCAGGGAGGGAAACACCCGGGUGG